rnacentral:misc_RNA from 1 species
GAUGAAGAACGCAGCGAAAUGCGAUAAGUAGUGUGAAUUGCAGAAUUCAGUGAAUCAUCGAAUCUUUGAACGCACAUUGCGCCCCUUGGUAUCCCGAGGGGCAUGCCUGUUCGAGCGUCAUUUCACCACUCAAGCCUGGCUUGGUGUUGGGCGACGUCCCCUUUGGGGAUGCGCCUCGAAACGCUCGGCGGCGUGGCACCGGCUUUAAGCGUAGCAGAAUCUUUCGCUUUGGAAGUCGGGGCCCCGUCUGCCGGAAGACCUACUCGCAAGGUUGACCUCGGAUCAGGCAGGGAUACCCGCUGAACUUAAGCAUAUCAAUAAGCGGAGGA